UCAUAUAAAGAUAGCUUUACUUAUAAACAAAUUUGGAAAUGGUUUCAAUAAAUAUGUAACAAAGCUAGGUAACUACAUAAAAGCUCUUUUUCAUUUUAAACACAAAACAGUUACAAGUACACUUAUAGUAUCUUUACACAUAGAAAUCUGUUACAAAUCAUUGAUCACUUCUGUCAUAGGACGUGUACACACUAAAUAACACUCCACCUAAAGCUCUGUGGAGUGGUACUAUGUAUUGAAUGGAAUUGAUAUUAACUUGUUAGGUACUGUUCUCUUUGUCACAUAUUUCCACAUGAUAUUGUUAACAGAAUGUGAAACAAGUAAUGAGGUAAAAUCAGGCUUGUGAGCAUUAUUCUCUUACUAAAUACUCUGAGGUACAAUGGUGAAUGUGGUUGAGGUUUGAUAGUGUGAUUGAAAUUAAUAUUAUGUACAUAAUGCACCAGGGAAAACUUUAUUAUUUUUUUAAACAUAUGUUUUUCAGUAGCCUGUGUAACAGACAGUAAUUUUGAUAUGAUCAGAGACGACUGAUUCUUAACAAUGGCAUUGAACAUAAAAUGUACUUGUAUUCUAUACUAAGCCUACAAUUAAGGAUAUGACAUUAGGUUAGCUAGAACAACAAUGUCUAUGUCUCUCUUUAUAGAUUAUAGUCAUUUUGUUUACUUAAUCAUAAUCACAACACUAAAUGAUUUGGUUGCAUGCUCCAGUGGCGGAUCCAGGGGGGGGGGGUUCCGGGGGUGCGCACCCCCCUUUAUUUUUGCCGAUCAAUGCAUUUGUAUCGGGACAUAUGUUUUGCACCCCCCCUUUGCCCUGGGUGCCCUGGGUUAGCACCCCCCCUUUCGAAAAUUCCUGCAUCCGCCCCUGUGCUCUAAUCCUUAAUAUAUUCAAGCAGAAACAAUGUAUUAUCUACAAUAGUGAGAGAAAAAAAAAUCAUCUUUAAAUACACUCUCUCUCUCUCCAUAUAUAUAUAAAAGGGAUUUCAUAUUCAUUAAAGGCAGAUAAUGAAACACAUUCAAAGCAAUAGCUAAGUUCUGGCAGAGAACAAAAAUAAGAAAAAGAAAACAAUAUUAAAUAUACCAAUAAGAGGUUUUCACACCUCAUGACUAGGUUAAUUAACCAUAAAUUGAAACUUUUACAAAUUCUUGUGCAUGGAAUAAAUUUUUCCACUGAAUAAUCAUUGAAUAAAAUAAAUUAUCCUGAGAAAAUAAAAGAAAAAAGAUUAUUCUAAUAAUCCUGAGUGAAGGUAGACAAAUAAAAUAUGAUACAAACAUAACAUAUAAAUAAAUGGGGAAUGUAUACAUGGGACACAGAUGACGCCCCUGCUUGAAUAUCAUAUGGAGAAAUCAGUGAAGAAAGUAAAAGUGACACUACCCAAAUUUGUACUUGAUCUGAGUAUUGUGGUAAUAAGUACCGUACUUGGGCAUGUGUAGUCCGCAUUUCCCCCUUAAAUAUAUAGUUUGUACAAGGGGUGUGGACUAUACAGAACUAAAGACGGUUUUCAAAAUUUAUAUAUUUUUUUUUCUGCAUUAAUAAUGUAUAUUGGAGACGUUUAUUAUAUUUAUUUCAUUUAAUUCUAAUUCUUUUAUUCUUUUUUAACUUUUCUCUUCAAAAUUGAUUAUUCAAAGUAAAGGUGUGACAUCCUGCAUAGGUAAUCAAGAGGGGUAAUUAAGGAUUAAGUAUUGGUGUGUAGCAAUUAAUAAUGAUGUUAAGUUUUGACAGGUGUUAAAUAUUAUAAUCCCAGGCAAAAAAACCAAUAUGAUCAAUGAAAAGAUUAUAUAAGAUUAAAUAGUUUUAAAAUUUUGAUUACUGCUAAUUAAUUUAGAUACAUGUUUGAUCUCUUUUUUCUUUUGUUCCAUAAUAUUCAAAUUAUUUCUGUCUAUAUUAUAUAUCAGCUUGGACAU
rnacentral:lncRNA from 1 species